CACCGGCUCUCCGAGCUCGCGCACUCUGUGGGCGGAGCCCCCAAGUCCAGACGCGGGCAGUAGGAGCGAGGCACGUCAGGCGCUGGGUAGAUCUUUCGGCCUCGCUGGAAGGAGGGUACCGAGGUAGCUGGCCAGUCAAAGACUCCAUCCCUCUUGCUUCCAGUGGGCCACCCUCACACCCUGUCCGAAAAGUUGUCUCCGUGGCCUGGCCUUGGGAAGUCUCUCCUCAGCUUUACCUCAGUUACCUCAGUCUCCACCGGCAGGGACCGGCCUGGGGUCUAGAAGGGAAGGUAGUAAAUGGCAGAGUCAAAAUUGGAACCCACACUACGGACUACUACAUUCUACAGUCAGCUCGAAUUCCCCCCAUAUGGGAAAUAAGCUACUGGAGGUGAGGUAGAUGUUUGGAAACAGCCUAAAAGUAAGUAUUCAGUUAUAGUUUGUGGUAAAGUAUGUUCCUUUGAACACUCAUGGCACCUUAUUUACACUCUGAAGUCAUGAAUUUGGAAAAGGCAAUAACCCAGAAAAGAAAAACUACAAUGCUUUGGACUGCAGGGCUUUCAGGGGAUGGGCUUCUCUAGAACUGUGUUGUCUAAUACCUUAGCCACUAGCCACAUGUGGCUAAGUGAGCACUUCAAAUGUGGCUAGUCAAAUUGGGAUGUGUUAUAGGUAUAAGAUACAAACUGGAUUUUGAAGACUUUGUAUGAAAAAAAAAGUAAAAUAUUUUAAAAUACUGAUUGCAUGUUGAAAUGAUAUUUUAAAUAUAUUGGGGUAAAUAAAAUACAUUAAAAUUAAUAUGUUUCUUUUUACCUAAUUUUUAAUGUGACUACUAGCAGGUUUUACUUAGGAUGCUUACAUUAUUUCUAUUGGACAACACUGCUCCAGAAAUAUGAUAGUCCAGCCCAAAGGCAGUAGAUAGCAGUUAUUUGAAUGGAAAACUGAGAAAAAGACAACAUAGGAACACAAACAUGAUGAUGGAGUUCCCACUGUGGAGCAACGGGAUUGGCAGCCUCUUUGGAGCACUGGGUCACAGGUUUGAUCCCCAGCCCAGCACAGCGUAAAGAUCCAGUGUUGCUGCAGCUGUGGCAUAGGUCAAAACUGUGGCUCAAUCUAAUCCCUGGCCCAGGAACUCCAUAUGCCAGGGGUGGCCAAAACAAAAAACGAAGAAAGCAAAAAACACAAACUUGAGCCUGGGAUUCUGAAAAACUCAGCAGAGGGAAUCCCAUGGUAUGUGUACUUCUGGUCAAUCAAAAGAUCCAGCAGGCGUUCCCGUUGUGGCUCGGUGGUUAACGAACCCGACUAGUAACCAUGAGGUUGCAGGUUCAGUGGCUGUGGUGUAGGCCGGCGGCUACAGUUCUGAUUAUACCCUUAGCCUGGGAACCUCCAUAUGCUGUGGAUGCGGCCCUAAAAAAAUCAAAAAAAAAAAAAAAAAAAAAAAAAUCCAGCAAAUAAAACAAGGGUGAAAAUGGCAGUAAAAACAAGAUAGAAAACUCUCAAGUUCUGGUAGUAAAUUAGUAAAUGCUUGUAUUAUAGGAAGUGUGACUUGGAAUGCUUAGUCCUUGCUGGUAUGUCAGAUGCCAGGUGAGUAGCCAAAGGGAGAUGGUGCUUCCAGCAGCAAAUCAGGAGGGAUAUGGAGGGGUAGGAAGAGAGGGAAAAUACUAUUGUAAAUAGGCAACAUAAGCAGAAUUAAUUUGAGGUUGUUCUGCAUUUUUAAUUUGGUGUUUUUCAAAUUAUAAAAAAAAAAAAGAGAUUCCUGUUGUAGCAAGUGAAACAAUACAAUGCAAAGACAUACUAAAGUAUUAAUUUGUAAAAAUCUAAUUAUUAAUUCAAAGUAGUACCUCUGAGAAGUAUCCACAAGGUGGUUCUGAGUGAACUCAAGAGUAAAACUGGAAUUUUUAGCUUUGCUACUGUGUAUGAGAAAGCAGUAGACAAAGGAGACAGUAUGACAGCUGCUAAUCAGUGGGGCUCCAUAAAUCAGCAAAACCCAUGGAGAGGCCAAUGGAAUAUGAAAUAAUGAUGUAUCUCAGAAUUUAAGGAAAGCCAACCUACAGGGGAAAAGGUGGCAUGCUUUUUUGUAAAUAAAAUAAUCAUUCCUGAUUAAUCUAUUAGAACUCUUCAUAGGGGCUGUAUGUUUGCUAGGACUGCCAUAACAAAGUACCACAGACUGGAUGGCUUAAACAACAGAAAUUUAUUUCCUCAAAAUUUUGGAAGCUAGAAGUUUAAGAUCAAGAUGUCAACAGGGUUAGUUUCUUCUGAGGCUGCUUUCAUUGGCUUGUAGAUGUCUAUCUUCUCCCUGUAUAUUCACAUGGUCCUCCCUCUAUAUGUCACUUCAGGUUGUAUAUAAAAAAUUCUUUUUGGAGUUCCUGUUGUGGCUUAGUGGGUUAAGGAUCCAUUGUUGUCUCUGUGACAAUGCAUAGCCUUGCUUAGUGGGUUAAGGACCUGGUGUUGCCACAGCUGUGGUGAGGGUUACAGAUGUAGCUUGGAGCUGGUGUUGCCAUGGUUGUGUCACAGGCCAGCAGCUGAAGCUCAGAUAAACCCCUGGCUCAGGAACAAUCAUGUGCUGCAGGGGCAGCCAUUACAAAAAAAAAAAAAAAAUGUUGGGAGUUCCCGUUGUGGCUCAGCAGUAAUGAACACAGGUAAUAUCCAUGAGGAUUUGGGUUCAAUCCCUGGCCUCACUCUGGAUUAAGGAUCCACCAUUGCCCUGAGCUGUGGCGUAGGUUGCAGACACGUCUCAGAUCCCUCAUUGCUGUGGCUGUGGUGUAGGCCGGCAGCUGCAGCUCAGAUUUGACUCCUAGCCUGGGAACUUCCAUAUGCCACAACAGUGGCCCUAAAACAAAAAACAAAAAAAAUUUUUUUUUUGUAAGUGAAUUUCAUGUGAAUAAGUCAAAGGUAUUUAUUUAUAGAUGAGUGUUUCUGAAUGGGGGUGGAGGGUGGUGAGAAAACUGCCUUUCAGGGAUGAGUAUAUCAAAACUAAGGGUAGGCAUGGAGGCACUGCUUUUCUUUUUCUUUUUUUUUAGUUUUAUCGAAGUAUAAUUUGUUGUUGUUGUUGUUGUUGUUGUUAUUGUUGCUAUUUCUUGGGCCGCUCCCGCGGCAUAUGGAGGUUCCCAGGCUAGGGGUUGAAUCGGAACUGUAGCCAUCGGCCUACGCCAGAGCCACAGCAACGCGGGAUCCGAGCCGCGUCUGCAACCUACACCACAGCUCACGGCAACGCCGGAUCGUUAACCCACUGAGCAAGGGCAGGGACCGAACCCGCAACCUCAUGGUUCCUAGUCGGAUUCGUUAACCACUGCACCACGACUGGAACUCCCGAAGUAUAAUUUUUUAAAAAAAUUUUAUAGAAGAAUAGUUGAUACUUUUUCAAGUUAUGUUUUGUGAAACUUUGAUUUUCUGUCACCACCUCCACUGUACCCUGAGAGUCACUGCUGUUAUGUACCACUGAUUGAAGAGAGUAUGUUUAAAAUGUCAUUUGAGGAGUUCCCGUCGUGGCGCAGUGGUUAACGAAUCCGACUAGGAACCAUGAGGUUGCGGGUUCGGUCCCUGCCCUUGCUCAGUGGGUUAACGAUCCGGCGUUGCUGUGAGCUGUGGUGUAGGUUGCAGACGCGGCUCGGAUCCUGCGUUGCUGUGCCUCUGGCAUAGGCCGGUG
rnacentral:lncRNA from 1 species